GAUGAACGCUGGCGGCGUGCUUAACACAUGCAAGUCGAACGGAAAGGCUCCUGCUUGCAGGGGUACUCGAGUGGCGAACGGGUGAGUAACACGUGGGUGAUCUGCCCUGCACUUCGGGAUAAGCCUGGGAAACUGGGUCUAAUACCGGAUAGGACGAUGGUUUGGAUGCCAUUGUGGAAAGUUUUUCGGUGUGGGAUGAGCUCGCGGCCUAUCAGCUUGUUGGUGGGGUAAUGGCCUACCAAGGCGUCGACGGGUAGCCGGCCUGAGAGGGUGUACGGCCACAUUGGGACUGAGAUACGGCCCAGACUCCUACGGGAGGCAGCAGUGGGGAAUAUUGCACAAUGGGCGGAAGCCUGAUGCAGCAACGCCGCGUGGGGGAUGACGGCCUUCGGGUUGUAAACUCCUUUCGCUAGGGACGAAGCGCAAGUGACGGUACCUGGAGAAGAAGCACCGGCUAACUACGUG
rnacentral:rRNA from 1 species